AUGCAUGUGUAAGUUGAACAUCUUGAAUAGUGAAACCGCGAAUGGCUCAUUAAAUCAGUUAUAAUCUACUUGGUUGUCAUAACACAAGGAUAACUGCGGUAACUCUGCAGCUAAUACUUGCAAAUUGCGUAUCACCUAUAUGGGAUUCGUUACUUUUAUUAGAGAAACCUGCGACGGGUCAGCUACCGCGUAUUCACGUGGAGAGCUCUGAAUAACUGAAGGAUGCCUAUAGCUUUAUGCUGGGCACGAACCAUCCGAGUAUCUGACCUAUCAACUUCUGACGGUAGUGUAACGGACUACCGUGGUUGUAACGGGUAACGGGGAAUCAGGGUUCGAUUCCGGAGAGGGAGCCUGAGAAACGGCUACCACACCCACGGGAGGCAGCAGGCGCGCAAAUUACCCAAUCUCAGCACGAGGAGGUAGUGACGAAAAAUAACAAUAUGAGCCCUUACGGGUUUGUGAUUGGAAUGAGAGAAAUUUAACAACUUUCAUUCGAGGAUCUAGUGGAGGGCAAGUCUGGUGCCAGCAGCCGCGGUAAUACCAGCAUCCACAAGCGUAUGCAAAAGUUGCUGCGUUUAAAAAGCUCGUAGUUGGAUCUGUCGAUGGUGUUGCGCUAACCGCCAGGUUCGUUUGAGUGUGCGGGUGACACCAUCUUCUUCCCGUUGAGAGUGUUUGCACUUAAUUGUGUUGAAUAUUCGAGACGGAUAAUUAAUUUGAAUAAACUAGAGUGUUCAAAGCGACCUUUGGGAAAGCAUAAUAAAGCAUGUGAUAGAGGAGGAAGACCCACCGUUGUUCGGAAGGGUUUGCAACGGCUGGUAAUGAUUGAAAGGAACAGUCGGGGGCAUUUGUAUUGCUACGUUAGAGGUGAAAUUCUUGGAUCGUGGCAAGACAAACUACAGCGAAAGCAUCUGCCAAGAAUGUUUUCAUUAAUCAAGAACGAAAGUUAGAGUAUUGAAGAGGAUUAGAUACCCUCGUAAUUCUAACCAUAAACGAUACCAACUUACGAUUUGUCAAAGUCCUGUUUGACUUGGCAAGGAGUUAUCCGGGAAACCAAAGUUCAUUGGCUCCGGGGGAAGUAUGGUUGCAAAAUCGAAACUUAAAGGAAUUGACGGAAGGGCACCACCAGGAGUGGAGCCUGCGGCUUAAUUUGACUCAACACGGGGAAACUUACCAGGUCCAGACAUCGUAAGGAUUGACAGAUUGAAUAUCUUUCAUGAUUCUAUGGGUGGUGGUGCAUGGCCGUUCUUAGUUAGUGGAGUGAUCUGUCUGGUUAAUUCCGAUAACGAACGAGAUCCUAACCAUUUAACUAGCUAAUGUCACUUGAAAUGUGACUUGAAAGCUUCUUAGAGGAACAAUGCGGAAAAAAUACCGCAGGGAAGUGGGGCUAUAACAGGUCUGUGAUGCCCUUAGAUGUCCUGGGCUGCACGCGCGCUACACUGGUAGCUACGAAUUGAAUGUUUGCCUUGUCCGAAAUGGUCCGGGUAAUCACCCAAAAGCUUGUCAUAAUUGGGAUAGACUAUUGCAACUAGUAGUCUUGAACGAGGAAUUCCUAGUAAGUUUCAGUCAACAGCUGGAACUGAUUACGUCCCUGCCCUUUGUACACACCGCCCGUCGCUACUACUGAUUGGACGUUUAAGCAAGAUUUUUAAACACUGACAGUUAAUGGCUUCGGCCUAAACACAGUGAGGAGAAGAAGAUCGAGCUUACUUGUCUA
rnacentral:rRNA from 1 species